CCAUGAGAGCUUCCCUCUCACUCUCUUCUCCCCUAAUCUUUGAUGAGUCCAGCUCACUUUCUCCUUUCUCCUCUCACUAGAUUGGAUCUUGAUGCAGGUGCAUGUUGGUCCAAGCAUGGAGAAGGUUGAGCUAUCCUCAGAUCUGAAGUUCUUGAGCAAAAUCCAAAUCGAGUGAUUCAAAGUUCCGCAGAUAGGUAUUGAAAAGAUCUACAACUUGGCAUUGGUCUCAUCCUCAAAUACGUUACGGAUUUUUCAUGAUCAAGAUCUGGUCAGAUCUGAUUUUGUCGAAUUAAACCAGGAGCUUGGAAACGAAUUUUUGAAUGAAACCAAUUGGGGGAUAAUUGGUUUAUACCAUGGUGAUAACCGAGAGAGGCAAUUGCUAAGUUGUGAUGCACUCAUACCUUUACUAGAUACGAACAAUUCCGGAGAAGAAGAAGAAGUGGAAUCGGACAAGGAUUUUAUUUAUAUAUGUUGUUGGGAUUCUUAUAUGGAUGGAGUUGAAGAAGUACAGGGACAAAUAAG